UUGACCUCGGAUCAGGUAGGAAUACCCGCUGAACUUAAGCAUAUCAAUAAGCGGAGGAAAAGAAACCAACAGGGAUUGCCCUUAGUAACGGCGAGUGAAGCGGCAACAGCUCAAAAUUUGAAAUCUGGGCCCUUGGGUCCGAAUUUGUAAUUUGUAGAGGAUGAUUUUGGGUGCGGUAUCUUCCGAGUUCCUUGGAACAGGAACGCCUUUAAAGGGUGAGAGCCCCGUACGGGUGAAUGCCUAGCCUCUGUAAAUCUCCUUCGACGAGUCGAGUGUUGUGUGAAAAAUGAA
rnacentral:rRNA from 1 species